GUGUACAGUCAUACCACCCUAAAAGCACUUAAUCUCAUCUGAUUUUUGAAGCUAAACAGUGUUGAGACAGAUUAUCAGUGAGAUAGGAAAAUUACAUGAUUCAAUCAGGUAAAGCAGGACAUA
rnacentral:rRNA from 1 species